rnacentral:sRNA from 1 species
GCGGCCGCACGCUGUCCCUGCAGGUGGCCUCCAACCCCAUCGAAUGCUCCCAGCGCUCAGCUCAGGAGCUGCCUCUGGUGGAGAAGCAGAGCACGGACAGCUAUCCGGUCGUGGGCGGGAAGAAGAUGGUCCUGUCCGGCCACAACUUCCUGCAGGACUCCAAGGUCAUUUUCGUGGAGAAAGCCCCAGGUAUGCUCUUCACCAGGGGCCAUCUGCGGCCUGGGCUUCGGCGCUGGUGGGAACCGGUUCCCUGUCGGUGGAGCAGGACCCACCUGUGCACGGUCACCGGGACGGGGCUUAUGGGGUGUGGCACGGAGCAGAGGCUCUGCAUGGCCCGUGUCUGCAUUCGGCUGUGGGUUUUUGUGUGAGCUGACAGCUGUGCUGCUGAAGGAAAGAGGUGGAUGUUUAUUUCUGGGGCUGCCGGGGCCACUGCAUUCACAUCGUUGCUGAUAUUCAGGGAGCCCACGGGCUGGGGACACAGAGGAGGGCAAGACGCAUUUGCUG